GGGAGACCCAAGUUGCACUAAACAAAGAUGGAGGAAAACACCCCUAUUAUCAGACAAGAAUUGGCCUACCUGAACUUGUAUUUUAAAAUAUCCCUCCACUCUUUGGACAUUAGCUGUUUAAUGUGAUGUAACAAGAAGAACAUUCAUGGCAUUAGGAUCAGGCUCGCCCUCCAGUAACUUGAGACACAUUGAGAGUCAACCUCCAAAAUCCCAGGUACCCAGCUAUCUUUAAACCAUAUAAACCUCCACCUUUUAGCCCUUGUAGAAGAUCACAACCACUGUUAUAUGUAAAAUCACCCAAAUAUGUACUUUGUGGGACUCUCACAUUGUAUUGCAAUAAGAUUGCCAAAACUUACUGGCACAUUUUAUUUACUUCCUUCUCAGAUAAUGGAAAACUAAUUAGCUGCAUUUUCCAAUAAUAUGAAUGACCUGAUCCUCUUAAGAUUGUAUUAACACCAUUAGAAAUGUCUAAGUCCUCAUAAAUAGCAUUUUAAGAAUACCAAUUUCUAACCUAAAAAAAAAAAAGAAAACAAUUUCUAGUUCCUACUUCCUAGUUGAAUAAGGAUGAACUCACUAAGACUUCUG
rnacentral:misc_RNA from 1 species